GACGAACCGGACGAACGUUAUUCGGAAUUACUGGGCUUAAAGAGUACGUAGGCGGCCAUUCAGGUCAGGUGUGAAAGCCCUCGGCUCAACCGAGGAAUAGCGCUUGAAACCGUUUGGCUUGAGGGAGAUAGAGGUUAGCGGAACUGAUGGUGGAGCGGUGAAAUGUGUUGAUAUCAUCAGGAACACCAGUGGCGAAGGCGGCUAACUGGGUCUCUUCUGACGCUGAGGUACGAAAGCUAGGGGAGCGAACGGG
rnacentral:rRNA from 1 species